AUAAUGUGGCUGAUUUAAAGCGGGAAACUGUAAAUUUUCUUAUGAAAUUAAUUUUCUUUUAUUAU
rnacentral:tRNA from 1 species